UGUGUGUUAGUGGAAGCGUCUGGAAAGGCGCGCGAUACAGGGUGACAGCCCCGUACACAAAAAUGCACAUAUUGUGAGCUCGAUGAGUAGGGCGGGACACGUGGUAUCCUGUCUGAAUAUGGGGGGACCAUCCUCCAAGGCUAAAUACUCCUGACUGACCGAUAGUGAACCAGUACCGUGAGGGAAAGGCGAAAAGAACCCCGGCGAGGGGAGUGAAAAAGAACCUGAAACCGUGUACGUACAAGCAGUGGGAGCACGCUUAGGCGUGUGACUGCGUACCUUUUGUAUAAUGGGUCAGCGACUUAUAUUCUGUAGCAAGGUUAACCGAAUAGGGGAGCCGAAGGGAAACCGAGUCUUAACUGGGCGUUAAGUUGCAGGGUAUAGACCCGAAACCCGGUGAUCUAGCCAUGGGCAGGUUGAAGGUUGGGUAACACUAACUGGAGGACCGAACCGACUAAUGUUGAAAAAUUAGCGGAUGACUUGUGGCUGGGGGUGAAAGGCCAAUCAAACCGGGAGAUAGCUGGUUCUCCCCGAAAGCUAUUUAGGUAGCGCCUCGUGAACUCAUCUCCGGGGGUAGAGCACUGUUUCGGCAAGGGGGUCAUCCCGACUUACCAACCCGAUGCAAACUGCGAAUACCGGAGAAUGUUAUCACGGGAGACACACGGCGGGUGCUAACGUCCGUCGUGAAGAGGGAAACAACCCAGACCGCCAGCUAAGGUCCCAAAGUCAUGGUUAAGUGGGAAACGAUGUGGGAAGGCCCAGACAGCCAGGAUGUUGGCUUAGAAGCAGCCAUCAUUUAAAGAAAGCGUAAUAGCUCACUGGUCGAGUCGGCCUGCGCGGAAGAUGUAACGGGGCUAAACCAUGCACCGAAGCUGCGGCAGCGACGCUUAUGCGUUGUUGGGUAGGGGAGCGUUCUGUAAGCCUG
rnacentral:rRNA from 1 species